rnacentral:lncRNA from 1 species
UUAUCUCUUAUACGAUUUUUCAUUCCAACACUAUUACUUUUCUCUUAUAUUUCUAUACGACCAAUGGUUUCUUCGACAGUGUUGUGUCUAGUGUUGCUGCAGGACGUUGGUGCUCUUGGGUUUCCGGCGACUCUGAAGCUGGAAAGAUCGUUUCCCACCAACCAUGGCGUUGAGUUGAAGCAACUCACGUAAAGAGAUGGUUUAAGAGACCAUAGAAUACUACACCAGUAUGCUGAUCCAAAUGUGGUUGUCGGAUUUGAAGUAUAUGGAACCUAUGAUCCUUUUGAUGCUGGGUACGUACACCAACUUUUGUUGAGUUUUUAACCAUAUCAUAGUAAACAUAAAAAUUAUUUACAAUACAUGGUAGUUUCAAAUAUAUUUACCAAAAAACAGUGAAAUAAUUCCGAACCAAUAUUUUUUAAUUUUUAUAUUACAAAAGAAAGUAAAGAAACUAGACCGCCGGUCCCUUCAUCUUCCUCCUAUUCCGUCGUCGUCUUAUGUUUUCUUUAUCGCCGGAGUAUUCGUCAUUUUUGUUGUUAAACUGGACCACCAAUCCCUGAAUCUCCUUCUUACUUGAUUACUACUAAUCGGUGCAUAAAAAACAAGAAGUCACAAGAGAUCCAAAGAUACCAUGAUCGGCUGCAUCUAAUGGGUUACAAUACAUAAUGAAACUUGUUCUUUUUAUUUUUUUUAAUUGGAAUAUGACGUCUAUUAAUCACUUAAUCAUGACAGUUUUGUGAUGUUUAUCGAAGGAAUGUUCUUUGUAGAAAUCCUAAAGCUACUUGUCUGGGAAUUAUAGAAUUGCAAAUUAAGAGAUGCAUGUUUCUUCUUGUUAUGCUAAUCUUAAUAUCUUCCUAGAUCUUCCAUUGAUGCAACCGCUAGUGUUUUUGUUUAGCGUUUUCAGUUAUAAAUAUUCUUCAAUUGUUAUUUCUUUAUCAGAGUUUCGCUGUCGGGGGUAUUUUGGGAAAAACUGGCAUGUUUGAUGUUCUUGGUAAUUGUUUUUUCAAUUCUAGCUCAUGUUUCGUUUUAUAGUUUUUGAUGGAAAAAGACCUGCACUUGUUCUAUACUUGCAUAUGUUUUAGUUAUACUUGAAAGACUUUGUGAACAAGUCAAUUUUUCCCCUUCCUAGCCACUUGUUCUUCAAUUCCUUAACAUGUUGUAAUUUGGUUAACUUGUAUCUUGUACUACACAAAAAUAAAGCUAGGAUUCCCUGCAAAAGAAUACUAUUUAGUGAUUGAUAUAGGAAGCGACUUGUUGUGGGUCUGCUGCAAACCCUGUCAAUGUUGCCCUACAUCAUCCACACUACAAGUAUGUUCUGAUCAUUUCUUAUAAGGUGUGACUUUUUUAAUUAACUAGUAUUGGUACUUUAUAUAUGAUUUCUUUCUUUGAACAGAUUCCUAUUACUAUCUAUGAUCCAAUAAACUCGUCAACAUCUUCUGCUAUCUUAUGCUAGGACGAAAGAUGUUCUCCUAAAUCCAACUCAUGUUCAGAUAACCAAUCCACCUACAAUCUCCACUAUGGAGAUGGUAGUGGAACAUCAGCUUAUUAUGUAUCCGACAUGAUGCAUUUUAGAAUAAUUGUUGGCUAGACAGAAUGGUUGAACACUUCAGCUUCAGUUUUAUUUGGGUAAGUUCUCAUGUAUCAUCAACUAUAGAAUUUAAUUUCUCUUCCUUCUUUCAUUCUCAUUAAAUAAGAUGGUUGAUUUAGUGAAUUUUGCAUGAGCAGCUUUAGCACGUUCGAAACAGGACAGAUAAGUCAAACGGAAAGAACACUUGAUGAGAUUAUGGGAUUGGGCAGAAAAAUUAUAUCCGUCAUUUCCCAAAUUUCAUCACAAGGGAUUGCACCAAAUUCCUUUGGACAUUGUCUAGCUGGUGGUGAUGGAGGUGGGAUUUUGGCCUUUGGCACACCAGUCAUGCCCGAUCUAGUCUUCACUCCACUUGUGAAGUCAAUGUAAGUUUUUAUUUUCUUUAUAUUUAUUUAUUAAUGUGAGAUGGCCUAAUUUUAUGAGACCGUGAGAUGCAAUCCUAGAUACACAUUUAGUAGAUAAAACGAAAACAUUUUUAAAAUAAAAAAGAAUUGAGAAUUUUCGAAAUAACAAUUUUCCAAUAUUAUGUUCGAAAUAUAUUUUUUCCAAAAAAAAAUACCACAAUAAAUAAAUAAAAUACAUUUUUUUACAUGUUCUAGUAGAAUAUUAGAAUAUUCUACAUAUCUGGCAAAUAUUCUAACAUUUUAAAGAUCACAUUAGAAUAUUUAUAGCGUAAUAUUCUAUUAGAAUAUUUCACGUGUUUUAAAAAUAAAACGGAAUUUCUUUUUUAAUUUUAUUUUGUUAUUUUUUCAGGUAACUCAAUUUCCAAAAAAUAUAAUUAAAAAAAGAGUUUUUGGAUUUUUCCUUUUGUUUUGCAUUUUAAAAUUAUUUUNUGUUUGGAUUCAAAAAUAUAUUGUGUCUAGUUGUAAUGUUUAGCGUAUUUUCUUAAUUCCGAACUUUCGACUUAGGAUUCUUUCAUAUGCAUAUUUAACAAUUAUAUAUAGGAGCGUUAGUUAGUAGAACGUAUAGUUUUCGAUACAGAAUAGUUUCACACAACUUCUUGGAAUGAAUUUUUCAUUAUUUCCAUUAAUGCAAACAUAUCUUAUUACUUUUGUGUGUUUCCAUAAACCUAUAAAAUCUUUUGAUAAUGUUUACAUUUUACAAUUUGUCGCUCUUAUAAUUGUUGACAAUAUAUAUUGACAAAGAUAUAUAUAUAUAUAUAUAUAUACCAUCUUAUAAAGCAUAUAUAAUUAAUGUCUUAAUUACCAAUUGUAAAGCCUAAGGUACAACAAAUAAAGCCUAUUACCUUAAAAACCAAGUAAAUAUGAUCCUGACCAUUAAUUAUUAAAUGAAUGGUAUAGAUAUGUCCAUGUUGGCAAUCCGUGUGCUGAAUGAAUAUUUGAUCAAAAACAUACAGACUCCCCAAAACAAAACUCUUUCGAGUUAGUGGAUUGAAAAUUUGAAUCUUGAUCUUAAAAUUUUCAAAAUCUCACUCUCUCUCCACAAGAACUGCCAUCAAUCACAUAUUUCAUCUCCCCCACCAUGUAUUGUCGCAUUCUCCGCCACAUACAACGACUUCGUCACUCACCACUUGCUCCACCGGUGUCGCUUUCUUCGCUUCCACAUAUGUACAACUGAUCAAAUUUGGUCACUUAUGGACGACAACUCACCAUCUCCAUCUUACUACCGCCUUCAUCUGUCACUACCAUCCACCGGAGUCGCCUUUUCCGAUUCCACCAUGACUCCCUCUAUUUCUUCUUCUAUAUAUGUAAGUAACUUAACCACCACGAACCAUUUAUUUGAUGCUCUCUUUCUCUGCUGUAGAAACUAGAAAGAUACAUAGGAAAGACACAAUUCGUCAUCGCCACCGUUGUAGAAUACAACAUCUGGCGAUUAUAUAUCUUCCCCAGUCGAUCUACACACGUAAGUUAUACAUCUAUUUUUUUGUUGUUUUUCUCCCUUAAUGAAGACAUAGACAAUUUAGGGUUUUUAUGUUUUACUUAUUUGGUUCAUGUUCAUUGAAUGUCUUUCAUGUUUCUGCAGGGGAUUUUGUCGUUUGUUAGAUUCAAAUCGGACAUAGGAUUGACGUUUCAAACAUUCAAAUCGAACAGGUUCACAUUUCAAGCUUCCCUAAUCCAUAGACUCUGAAUGAGAAAAAAGAUAAAAAAAAAAUAACAAAAUGAUUCUUUUCAUUUGUGUAGAAUCAUAGAAAGAGGAAAUAAAAGAAACUUGGCGACCAAACCUAAAGCCUGACCAUCAGGGUUUGCUUUUGAUUUUUGGAUUUCUUUCUGCGUUUCUGCAGACAAAGCUGGGUGAAGACAUAUCUGGGGGAGACGGAUUUGGGAGAUGAUCAAUUAUAGAAUCUGGGUCACAAAAUGAUCGUUUGAAAAAUCAUUUGUAUGCUCCUAACACGGUAAGAAUUUGCUUCUGGAUUUAUUUCAUUUUUUUAUCAAGGUUUUAUUAUUGAUUGGUUAUACCCAUUGUUUCUUAUGUUUCAUUGGAAUUUGGAAUUUGUUUAUCUAGGUGAGUUCAUUCAUUUUGGUGGUCUCUUCUUAAUUUUGUUAUCUUUCGUUCUAAUUUUGAAUUGGUUUUUAUAUGUAAUUGUUCUCUGUAGUUUUUACAUUCCUCCAACUUACUAAAUCCUAACUUUGAACAACCAUUCUUGCUAUCAGACAGUCUUUGCUCAUGGAGUCGUCGAGUAACAAAUUUGAAUGAAUAGAACCCCAAUCAUAUCUUUUGCUACCAUAAUGGAUGAACCUGGUAAAAUAAAGAAAAAGGUAAGUGGUUUGAUUGAAUAAAACUAAAAGUUGUUGAUAAGAAUUUUUGCUUUAAUUGUGUUGAUUUUAAAAUUGAUUUAUUCCUUGUGGUGACUGUGAUAUGCUAUGCUUGAACUAAAUUUGUGGGAAAGAUUCAAGUUGUGGCUCAGUUGUUGGAGCAACUGAUUUGGAAAAGAAUGUAACCUGGUGCUUUGACUUGAAUAAUUUUUGUCAGGUUACUUUCAUGCAACUCUAAAAAUUGAUUAAAAUCUUUUUCACAACAAAUCAAUAGCAAUAUCUUGACAUGUGCAAUAAUUUAAAUUAAAAAAUGUAUGAUUGCAGAUAAAUUGUAAAAAGGUGGCAGCAAAAAACCAUUUUAAGGUAAGUUUAAUAAAUUCCUGUGCAUACUUGAGAGAUUUGAACGGAAAUGGGUUUUUUGACUUUUAAGUUCAAAUUUAUUAGUCGUUUCUUUGAUUCAUUUAUAGAAAAAACGCCUUGACUUUGGCUCCAAAUGAGUUUUUUAAUCAAGUCAAGUCUGAGUUUUUGAAGCAAGUCAGGUCUGGUCGAUCUAUCAAUACUUUUUUGGUACUAUGGUUUGUUCUGAAUCAAAGCAAGGUAAUAAUUUAAAUUAGUAAAGUUGUUGACAACAUCUAUAAGGUUUAAUGAUGUUAGCUUUUAGGGAUUUUUUUGAUAAAAGUACCAUCUUCAAAUGAGCACCCUUAUGGCACCAGGAAGGUCUAAUGGUUAGAUAAAAAUAUAAAGAAACAAAGCACAAAAGACACUUGGUAGCUCAACAUCUGUUUUGGUGGUAGGGGUUUCAUUUACUAUUUUUUUUUAGCAUCCACAAAUCCAAUGACAUCAUGAUAUAAGGAGUCGAGUUUGUGGUUUUAACACUUGUAUAGACUUGAUAUCUAUCUUACUUUAAAUUGUUUGCUUGUAGGAGCUGAGUUUGUCAAAAAAAAUGUAAAAGAUCAUCUUAAGCCCUAUACAGGAUGACUUAUGGACUUUGGAAAUGCGGCUGCUUGAGGUCUAAUGUAUACAUCCCUGGAGUGAUGGAUCUUAUGGAGAUCCAAGGUUUAUGGCUUUUGAAUACUUGAAUUCUUCACUUCAUGGAUUCUUCUUUUUGUGUGCGAGUUUCCUAAUUGUUUGGUUUUGGAGGAAAAUUCAGUAUCUUAUUUUGGUGUUUUAAUGGGUUUGGGCAGGAUGUUGGUGUGAGUUUUAUUUCUUUUGUGUGUGGUGAUUUUUAGAUGCAAGAAAUAGCAAUGUAUUUUCAACUAUUUUACUUCUCAUAGAUGCUAUGUGUUAUAAUUUACUAUGCAUACUUGAAAAAUAUUCAUCCUUGUAUUUAUAUGAAAAUUCACUUUUCGUCUUUUGUUUUUUCCUCUAAAUGGGUUAACUACUGAUCAAGUUUCAAAACUACCCGAUUACCAUUUGAAGGAUAAGUCGUUGGAGUGUUUAAGGUUAAAUUUUGAUUUGGGUAUAAUGAAAGUAGUAACUGUUGAGUUUGAUUUUACUGGUUAAAAAGCAAAAGAAUAUCAAGAUGAGAGAAAAGCAUCACUUAGAUCAAGUCAUUGCCACUAUUUGUCCCUUCAACACUGUUGAUGCAGAAAAUAGUGGUGCGUUUAUCGUCUUAUGCAUUGUUACAAUUAUAGCAAAAAAAUAUCAAUGUACUUUUUGUUUUCUGAUAUUUUAUAGUGCAAUGGUUUAGUUGCAGGAAUAUAUUAUUGUUUGAUCAAGAAAUAAAUUCAUUUUUUUGUCCAUGCGUUGUCAAAUAGUAUUGACAUUCUUUUUCUUAAAAAAGUCAAAAUGCCUAUUUAAGCGGAGCAAAUAGUUUAGGAGAUCUAGCAUAUGGUAAUUGCUAUUAGGCUUAUGAUUGACUUUUUGUGUGAUCCGUAUUACUUGGUUGUUAAUUCAAUUGCUAAUGUAUAGAACGAAAAAUUUCAUAAAUUAAUUACAUGGAUCCAAAUCCAUAACUUUUAUAGUAGAUCAAAACUAAAUGUUUAGUUAGUGAUUAAUGUAAUAGAUAUGGUUUUGGAAAAUUAAAUUUGAAUUUUGUAAUUUUCGUGAAUACAAAUUAUAUUUUCAACGUGUUUUUUUUUUUUUUUAAUAACUAGGUGUUAACAAAAUAAUACCAGCAUAAAAUAGAUAUUAAGGAAAUUUUUUUUGAUCGAUUCCAUUAAUAUGGUAUGAUAAUUAUGAUGACCAUUUCUCAUUUGCUGCAUGGAAAACUUUACAUUACCCAGAGCAAUAUCAUGUGACAAUACAAGCCCAAGAUGAACUACUAACACUGAUUUGUCUUAUAAAAAGCAAAUACUAAUACUUAAUCUAACACUAACGGAAAUUGGUGUUGAAAGAAACUACAUGCCGCAAAAUGAUCUAUCAAAAGACUAAGAUGAAUUAUCUGACACGAAAAGUAAAUAUCGUUGAAUUAAACUAUGUGCUCAAAGGAAUAAUCUCGCACCGUUGCAUCGCACGGGUACCCUACUNNNNNNNNNNNNNNNNNNNNNNNNNNNNNNNNNNNNNNNNNNNNNNNNNNNNNNNNNNNNNNNNNNNNNNNUAAUAUUUUAAAGAAAUAAAAUCGUAAUUAAAUAUAGUAACUAUAUAAACGAGAAAUGUAACUACAAAAAAGUGUAAUUAUAAUAUAUCAUGUAAGUUCAAUCCGUGGGGCCACAACCCAAUUUUAGUUGAAAGAGCCCUAGUUCUAUUUUUAGGAUGAAUAUCUCAAUCAGUAUUUUGUAAUGAAAUUGAUUUCAUCAUUGUUUACAGUUGGUUGAUAGUUUUCUUCUCCAUGUAUAUAUAUUUCCCCUGUAAUGAAAUGCACCACAUGAUGUUUCAUUCCAACAAUAUUACUUAUCUCUUAUACGAUUUUUCAUUCCAACACUAUUACUUUUCUCUUAUAUUUCUGUACGACCAAUGGUUUCUUCGACAGUGUAGUGCCUAGUGUUGCUGCAGGCCGUUGGUGCUCUUGGGUUUCCGGCGACUGUGAAGCUGGAAAGAUCGUUUCCCACCAACCAUGGCGUUGAGUUGAAGCAACUCACGGAAAGAGAUGGUUUAAGACACCAUAGAAUACUACACA